rnacentral:rRNA from 1 species
GCCUACGGGGGGCAGCAGUAGGGAAUUUUCGUCAAUGGGCGCAAGCCUGAACGAGCAAUGCCGCGUGAACGAGGAAGGUCUUCGGAUCGUAAAGUUCUGUUGAAGGGGAAAAAGAGCGGAGAGAGGAAAUGGUCUCCGAUUGAUAUUACCCUUCGAGGAAGUCACGGCUAACUACGUGCCAGCAGCCGCGGUAAUACGUAGGUGGCGAGCGUUAUCCGGAAUGAUUGGGCGUAAAGGUUGCGUAGGCGGCCUGCUAAGUCUGGAGUGAAAGGUACCGGCUCAACCGGUACAGGCUAUGGAAACUG